UACGAAGGGGGCUAGCGUUGCUCGGAAUCACUGGGCGUAAAGCGCACGUAGGCGGGUCCUUAAGUCAGGGGUGAAAUCCCGGAGCUCAACUCCGGAACUGCCUUUGAUACUAGGGAUCUUGAGUCCGGAAGAGGUGAGUGGAACUCCGAGUGUAGAGGUGAAAUUCGUAGAUAUUCGGAAGAACACCAGUGGCGAAGGCGGCUCACUGGUCCGGUACUGACGCUGAGGUGCGAAAGCGUGGGGAGCAAACAGG
rnacentral:rRNA from 1 species